AUUGUAUUGUAGUUUCUUCUAUUUUGAGUAGUCUUUUAAAAACAGCCGCCCAAUUCCGGGUCACGUGCAGAGCUCUUAAUUUAGUUUGGGCCACCAGGUGGGCGUGUGUCAUGGCUGCGUCUUCCUGUCUGUGGACAGGUAACCUGCUGUUGAGACUGUAGGCCUCCCUGAAGGACGUACAAAGAAAGAACACAGAGAUCAUGUUUAAAGUCACUGAAGUGGCACCUGUCUUCCCUUCGUUCAACAUUACUGACUUUAGUUAAACCAAAUGAGGGAACCAACGCCUCCAGACGGUGAUACUGCCUUGAAAAGAUGGAGAAUACUUGCAAAGCACGAAAAUCCUUAUCGGACUAAAGUGGACUCUAAUACGAAUUACAUGCAAAUAUUUUGGAGAAGGGAGUUUACUGAACUGAAGAAGCGGACUUGUAUCCCUGAAUCAUCUUCAGCAAGAGGACUUCUGUUGGUCCUGUUAGCGCACCCAGAUCUGCUGGUUUUCCCUCCUUGCAUGGAUCAUGUAUCACCUGUGCAGCUGUAAUAAACGCUGCAGGAGAAGAUUCGAAACGCUGCCUGCGACUCCUCCAGGCUGCAGUCACAUUCAUAAAUUUCCAACCUUUGACCUUUGAGAGAGACUCAGCAGGAAGCACAUCAGGAGGGUCCAGGAAUCUAGCAAAAAAUCCUUCUUGUUAAAGCUGCACUGUGGCCACUUUAAAGGAUGCACAAGCUAAUAAUGGAUAAGUAGGAUAUGUAAUACAAAUAAAUAUGUUGUUACUAGUGAA
ensembl:lncRNA